rnacentral:rRNA from 1 species
AUGAAAGGAAAGAUAGUUGAAGCAGAACCAUCCGACCACCAGCAAUCCAAGGACAAGGGAAAGAAAGUGGUGUUUGAGAAAUCCGAGUUUCCGCCACUUGUUUACAAGGGAAAAGAGAUGAUGGUAGAGACAUUCAACUCCAAGCUACCUGAGAAAAGAGGCGGUGUUGUGGUCUUGCCGUCAGCGUCAUCUUCAACAGGAAGGCCCACCAAUGCUCGGAAUAUACUUCGAGCCGAUGCUCCUGAGUUUGUCCCUGCAUUGGCCCAUAAACCUAGUGAGGAACACUUGGGAAUAAUGCAAAAACGUUCUGUGGAAUGGAAGGGAGUGUGCCUUACAUCUGGUGACCUCAAAGCAGGCCACAUAAAUCCAACAUCUGCACCAUCAGCUGCUCUGUUUGAAGAAGCACCCAUCCUACGAGAGUCCUUUGAAGGUUUGUUUGAUCCAGUGCGACAUCAACGGCGACAGAGAAAUGUCCAUCGAUCUUGGAUUGAUCUUCCAGCUGCCGUAGAUCAAGAGGCGGCGAGCCGACACCGUUCUCAUGUGAGCAAGUCCGUCAAGGGGAGAUGGAAAAACACUCGUCCAAAGAUCCAAGUUCGGAAUCCAGAUGACUCAUAUGUUGAACUUCCCGGUGCAUCCACAUCACAAAAUGAUGAGGGUGGUGCCAUCAUGCGACUGGCGGAGGCCCUGGCCCAACGGCAUGAGUACCAAGAAUUCAUUCAGCAACAUCCUAAACAUCAAGAGUAUGUGAACCAAGCUGCUCAUGUCCGUUCAAGAAGGGCGGCGUACAAAGAAAGAGAAAGGGCAAUACGGGCAAGGUCUGGGUCAAGCAGAGUCCAAGGGGCAGAACACGCCCCAUCAGAUGAGGACAGUCAGGCUAAAACCAAGAAUAAAUCAUUCGAGGUGUUCCAAGCAAUGCCAGUUGGUGUCAGGGCGGCGUCAGACAAGACCAGCGAAACAUCCUCCACAUAAACACAUUUCAAGAGGAAGAAGGCAUGCAAAACUGUCAUAGAAGGUCCUCGUCGUAGUACAUGAAGCCAAAAGGGUUCAAAUUAUGAAGAACUUGGCUCCAGCUGUGGUGGGUCUUAUAAUCCCCUAUCGGAUAGUACCCCAUGUCCUUCUGAAAAUGAGAUAGAACUCCACCAUGGUGCAAAGCAUACAGAACAAGUCCUGGCCGCGAAUGAAACUCGUUCGGUUGAGGAGCAAUUAGCCAACCUUACGGCAGCGCUUCAGCAAAAGGAAGACGAGCUAGAAGCCCUUCGAAUUCAGAUGAGCAAUAACUAG